ACCUAUUUGGUGAAAAGACAGGACAGUUGACGUAGGGCUCUUCAGAAGCCAGCAUAGGAGACCUCAUUCACUUCUCUUCUCAAUCUAGCAGCCAGUGGCAUCAGCCGAUUGUUAAGCACACAUCACAGAGGAAGAGGAUCUGCAUUAUGAUUCAGAAGCAAGAACGACAGCAGAAAUUCCUGAAUGCAUAAAAAUACGCAGAAGGUGUGAGGGUUAGAUUCCAGUUGACUGUGACCGAGGCCUGGAGUAGAAAGACCACCUGGGAUGGAUCUUCCUGCAAGCCACCGACACUGCCAGUGUUUGCAGCUUUAAGAAGAGACAAUGAAACUUAAAUCAAGAGGAGUAUGCUUGUUUCCCUGUCAAAGUAACAUAAUCUACAAAAAAAAUUCUGGCUCCCCCAUGGAGAA